GAUGAACGCUGGCGGCGUGCCUAAUACAUGCAAGUCGAGCGAACAGACGAGGAGCUUGCUCCUCUGACGUUAGCGGCGGACGGGUGAGUAACACGUGGAUAACCUACCUAUAAGACUGGGAUAACUUCGGGAAACCGGAGCUAAUACCGGAUAAUAUAUUGAACCGCAUGGUUCAAUAGUGAAAGACGGUUUUGCUGUCACUUAUAGAUGGAUCCGCGCCGCAUUAGCUAGUUCGUAAGGUAACGGCUUACCAAGGCAACGAUGCGUAGCCGACCUGAGAGGGGGAUCGGCCACACUGAAACUAGGACACGGUCCAACCUCCUACGGGAGGCAGCGGUAGGAAAUCUUCCGCAAUGGGCGAAAGCCUGACGGAGCAACGCCGCGGGGGUGAUGAUGGUCUCGGAUCGUAAAACUCUGUUAUUAGGGAAGAACAAAUGUGUAAGUAACUAUGCACGUCUUGACGGUACCUAAUCAGAAAGCCACGGCUAACUACGUG
rnacentral:rRNA from 1 species